rnacentral:misc_RNA from 1 species
GCAAUUCUUGAUCCCCGAAUAAAAAGUGAGCUCAUCCCUGAGAGUCUUAGCACAGGAAAUUAUCUAGAUGAAGCCAGAAACCAUUUCAUAAGAAAUUACACUUCAAGCCAUUUUUCAUCCAUGACAAGUGNNGGUAGUCAAGAGAUUGAAGAUGGAGGCAGUGUUUCCUUUGCAGAGGAAAUUGCUCGAAAAAAGCGCAGGGCAAGCUUAAGCAAUUCUACUGAUGAGCUCACUUUNNNNNNNNNNUAUCCGAGCCUCCCGCUCCAAUACCAACAGAUGUUCUAGAGUGGUGGAAGGUCAACAGCC